rnacentral:misc_RNA from 1 species
GAUGAAGAACGUAGCGAAAUGCGAUAAGUAAUGUGAAUUGCAGAAUUCAGUGAAUCAUCGAAUCUUUGAACGCACAUUGCGCCCGCCAGUAUUCUGGCGGGCAUGCCUGUUCGAGCGUCAUUUCAACCAUCAAGCCCCCGGCUUGUGUUGGGGACCUGCGGCUGCCGCAGGCCCUGAAAACCAGUGGCGGGCUCGCUAGUCACUCCGAGCGUAGUAAUACAUCUCGCUCAGGGCGUGCUGCGGGUUCCGGCCGAUAAAAGCCUUAUUUACCCAAGGUUGACCUCGGAUCAGGUAGGAAGACCCGCUGAACUUAAGCAUAUCAAUAAGCGGAGGA